GGGGAUGUAGCUCAGUUGGGAGAGCAUCUCGUUCGCAACGAGGGGGUCGUCGGUUCGAUUCCGAUCAUCUCCACCA
rnacentral:tRNA from 1 species